GUACUGACCCUGGGGGACACUGCUAUCUACAGGCCUCCAACUAGACUCCACACUUCUAGACUGUACUUCUAGAUUUAUAGAAAAUCUGCAAAAAGGUGCUGAAGACUCUCUCAGCAGCUUCUCAUUUUCUGGAGCCCUGAGGGCCAGGUGCACAAAUUAGUCCAAUAUUUUCUGCUGCAGCAGGAUUUCCUGGAUGGUUCCAGCCCAAGAAGAGUGGCAGCUCAAGUAAUCACAUGGGCAAGACCCUUCUUUCCUCAGAGAGAUGACCAGGAGAUACUGACCAGCUCAACUGGCCUGCCUGCAGCCACACAGUUUCCCCCACACCAAAGAGUUCUUCCAAACACAGAACUCUCCCAGCCUGAGAAGACCCAGGAGCAGCACGGAGAUGGAGAGGACUAAAAAUGACCCUGGCAAAGAACUUGGGAAAUCAAAAACAGAAGCAGGUCCUGUAUGCUUAAAACAUUUGCAUUAAAAC
rnacentral:lncRNA from 1 species